rnacentral:rRNA from 1 species
AUUGAACGCUGGCGGCAUGCUUUACACAUGCAAGUCGAACGGCAGCACGGGCUUCGGCCUGGUGGCGAGUGGCGAACGGGUGAGUAAUGCAUCGGAACGUGCCCAUGUUGUGGGGGAUAACUACGCGAAAGCGUGGCUAAUACCGCAUACGCCCUGAGGGGGAAAGCGGGGGAUUCUUCGGAACCUCGCGCAAUUGGAGCGGCCGAUGUCAGAUUAGCUUGUUGGUGAGGUAAAGGCUCACCAAGGCGACGAUCUGUAGCGGGUCUGAGAGGAUGAUCCGCCACACUGGGACUGAGACACGGCCCAGACUCCUACGGGAGGCAGCAGUGGGGAAUUUUGGACAAUGGGGGCGAACCCUGAUCCAGCCAUGCCGCGUGAGUGAAGAAGGCCU